CAGGGUCUCGGAGCCGGGAAGUACCUGGGGUGAGGUCACAGGGCAAGCUCAGACCCGGUUUCACUCCGGUGACGUCGCUAGGCCACGCCCCCACCGCUGGGGGCGACAGCAUCUCUGGCUCGUCGUCUCCCUGCCCCCACAGAGCGCUUCCUCCCUGGACACGGAACCAGCCCAGGGACCCGCAGCGAGGAGCGGGCUGGAGCCCGGAGUAGCAGAGGCACCCGGAGGUGGUCACAGGUCAUAGGCUCCUUUGAGGACUUGAAGAAAGCCAUCAGCCUUUCUGAAGAAAAAAGGGCAGAGAGACCAUUUAACGUCAGGGACUUCCUAGGGUCCCAGAAGUCAGUGGACCCCAAGUUACGGACUUUAAGAAUCUCAGAGGCCUUUCCUAGUUCUAGGAUUCUGCUAUCUUCUUCAACCUUCCUGUGUACCAUGUUUUAGAUAUUUCACCCACACAUUAGAUCAGGUCUGACCUAUUAUGCUUUAUUCUUUUGAUCAUAUGCAGUCUAGAUACAAUAAUCAUUGCUUUGGUAGUCUGGGCUACUGCUGGGAGCUUUAGUACUUAAUCCACCGCAGUAUUUGAUUUUAAAAAAAAUAAAAGAUUUUAUUUAUUUAUUUA